UCCUUUUUUGGCAAGCGUUGUUCGGAAUUACUGGGCGUAAAGGGCUCGUAGGCGGCCAACUAAGUCAGACGUGAAAUCCCCAGGCUCAACCUGGGAACUGCGUCUGAUACUGGAUGGCUUGAAUCCGGGAGAGGGAUGCAGAAUUCCAGGUGUAGCGGUGAAAUGCGUAGAUAUCUGGAGGAACACCGGUGGCGAAGGCGGCAUCCUGGACCGGUAUUGACGCUGAGGCGCGAAAGCCAGGGGAGCAAACGGG
rnacentral:rRNA from 1 species